UGGAAGAAACUCACUGCACUGGGCAGAAAAUUCACGAGAUUUGAAGAUAUGAAAUGUUAAAAGCCUUCUCUAGGAAACGCUUGAAACAGUUUGUGUGUGCUGGCAAACAUGCCGUUUGAAUUCCACUAAAUGCGUCCUCGUCAUGCUCGUGGGAAAAUUCAACUUGCGGUAAGCUGAUCUGCUAUGAUUGCAAUUAAUCGAACCACAUUUUGUUGAUGAACCACCAGCAACAACAUCAACAACAACUGAACAAGGACCAUUGCGCAUCGACAUUCUACCUGACGACGUACUCUUCCAUGGACAGAGUUUUGGAGUUUUAUUUUGAAGUCACUGUGAUGAUUAUCACCAAUUGGCACCAAUGAAUAGGCAGAGGAUGUCUGGUCCCAGCAAGCAGGCAGCGAGCAGGAGACUACCCCCUCUACCAGCCCACAAACGCAGUCCAGCCACCACCAGUCCUCAUGCUUCAAGCAAAGGCCACUCUGUCUACCUGGGUCCUAGCCCACCUAGUCACACUACUGGAGGAAAGUAUGCACACAUCCAAGGACAUUAUGGUUAUGGGAUCGCACGAUCUAACCAUGAUCGCAUGAUAGUCACUGGGCAGUCAUCCACCCUAAGUAACGGUAUUGGUCGACAUCGCGCUGUCCUCACACAUCCUUCAUUCAGUGAAUCCAUUGAAGUUUUACCAGAUCAUAUUCUCCAAGAGCAGGUGCGUAGUUACCUGAAUGAAAACCCUGCCUUUUUGGAGGAUUAUGUCUUGAGCCAUGUUGACUAUGACAUACUGGAGCGAUGGACGGGACAAGUUCGUGCUCAGAAGCACAAGGUCACCUAUAGCAGAUCCAGAAGCAUGUCACGGGAGAAUUCUGGCAAGAGUGGCUCCAGUCAAGGCACCGGUCCGCCUUCGCCCAAGCCUCAUCAUUGGAAGAAAGGUGUGACACUGCACGACAGGAAGAAGUUGGUGCAUGAAUUAACCCAAGAUGUCCAGCACUAUGCUAGUCGAGUACGCAUCUUGCAGGAAAUGGCCAAGUGUGUGGCUACACAGAUCCAGGCAGAUGGAUACACACUCUAUCUGUUGACUGAGACAGGAACAGAACUCUAUGAGUACAGUGCAGAACACAAGGGAGAGGAGCCGAGUGUUACCUGGCCAAUAGGAAAAGGCAAAUCCAUUGCGGGAUAUGUAGCCCAUUCCCUGCACACUGUCAAUACCUCAGAGAUACGUACGGCUGAUUAUCCUGAGGGAGUGGUAGCAGAUGGUGUAACAGCCAGUGCUGUUCUUGCUCUUCCAGUUUUACAAGCCAAUGAGGAUUUAGUUGGCGUGAUUGAGUUCUACCGUGACACUAAUCAUGGGCAUGGCUCAUUCACUGAGGAUGCGCAAGAAACAGCCAGUGCGUUCCUGGUAUGGGGGUGUAUCGCCGUUCAUUAUGCUCAGAUGUAUGUCAGCAUGAGUAAGCAGAGAAAGCUGAAUGAUUUCCUCUUGACGGUCACAAAGUCUGUUUUUCAAGAUAUAAUCAGCAUGGAUACGGUUAUCAUGAAGAUCAUGAACUUUGCGCAGAAGUUGGUUUCAGCAGACCGGGCUUCACUGUUCCUUGUCGACAAUAAAACCAGAGAGCUGUAUGCCAGAAUAUUUGAUGUAGGCAAUGGCAUAGGCAUGCAGGUUGUUGAAAAGGAACAAAAAGAAAUCAGGUUUUCCAUGGACAAAGGUGUUGCUGGCCAUGUUGCUUCCACUGGGCAGGUUCUUAACAUCCCUGAUGCAUAUCUAGAUCAACGGUUUAACAGGGAUGUGGAUCAACAGACAGGCUAUGUCACCAAGACUAUUCUCUGCAUGCCCAUAUACAACAGAGGAAAUGUGAUUGGUGUGGUGCAGAUGGUGAAUAAGAAGCAAGGACACUUCACUAAAACAGAUGAACAAGCCUUUGAGACGUUCGCUGUGUUCUGUGGUUUGGCUCUACAUCAUGCCAAGCUUUAUGAUAAGAUCCAUCGAUCGGAGCAGAAGCAUAAAGUAGCUCUGGAGGUCCUGAGCUAUCACAGUCAGUGUCAUGAAGAAGACCUGGAGAACCUCAAGAAAGUGGCUUUACCAGACCCUAUGCCUCAGCUUGCAAGGUACGACUUCUCACCAUGGGGACUGGAUGAGGAGGCCAAACCUCUGUAUGUGCUGUGCAUGUUCCAGGAUAUGUUCACUCUUAACGGUGAUGAUCAUAAUGACAACUCAGAGAGGUUUGACUAUGAAGAUCUGUGUCGGUUUAUCCUGACUGUAAGGAAGAAUUACAGGAAGGUUCCUUAUCAUAAUUGGACGCAUGCAUUCUCUGUGGCUCAUAGCGUAUACACUAUCAUCAAGACCUGCCAAGAGGAUACAUUUACUCCUGUUGAGUGUCUGGCCCUGUUUGUUGCCUGUCUCUGCCAUGACCUUGAUCAUAGAGGCAAGAACAAUUCCUUCAUGGUCAACAAUGCUACACCAUUAGCAGCUGUAUAUUCCACAUCUACUAUGGAGCAUCAUCACUUCAAUAUGACUAUCACUAUACUCCAGAAUGAAGGACACAACAUCUUCAAGCACCUAACAUCAGAUGAGUACAAACAGGUACUGAGUGACAUACGACACGCCAUCCUAGCCACUGACUUGGCCUUGUUCUUUGGCAACAAGGCUAAACUGAAGGUCAUAGUGGAGGCUGGACAGUUCUCAUGGACCAAUCCGGAACACAGAUCAUAUGUGAGAGCACUGACAAUGACUGCAUGUGAUUUGGCGGCCAACACAAAGCCCUGGUUGAUACAACAACAAACCGUUAAGGUUAUCUUUGACGAGUUUUAUCAACAGAAAGCUGUUGAAGGCAAUUGCUAUGACGGCCUGUGACCUGUGUGCAGUAUGUAAACCAUUUGAAAUUCAGCGGCAGGUGGCCAAUGAGUGCUUCGAGGAAUUUUAUAGCCAGGGUGAUGAAGAAAAAGCACAGGGCAGGAAUCCGAUUCCCAUGAUGGACCGUUCCAAGUCACAUGAACUGCCAACCAAUCAG
rnacentral:misc_RNA from 1 species